AGGAUGAACGCUAGCUACAGGCUUAACACAUGCAAGUCGAGGGGCAGCAUCAUCAAAGCUUGCUUUGAUGGAUGGCGACCGGCGCACGGGUGAGUAACACGUAUCCAACCUGCCGACAACACUGGGAUAGCCUUUCGAAAGAAAGAUUAAUACCGGAUGGCAUAGUUUUCCCGCAUGGGAUAAUUAUUAAAGAAUUUCGGUUGUCGAUGGGGAUGCGUUCCAUUAGGCAGUUGGCGGGGUAACGGCCCACCAAACCAACGAUGGAUAGGGGUUCUGAGAGGAAGGUCCCCCACAUUGGAACUGAGACACGGUCCAAACUCCUACGGGAGGCAGCAGUGAGGAAUAUUGGUCAAUGGACGAGAGUCUGAACCAGCCAAGUAGCGUGAAGGAUGACUGCCCUAUGGGUUGUAAACUUCUUUUAUACGGGAAUAAAGUGAGCCACGUGUGGCUUUUUGUAUGUACCGUAUGAAUAAGGAUCGGCUAACUCCGUGCCAGCAGCCGCGGUAAUACGGAGGAUCCGAGCGUUAUCCGGAUUUAUUGGGUUUAAAGGGAGCGUAGGCGGGUUGUUAAGUCAGUUGUGAAAGUUUGCGGCUCAACCGUAAAAUUGCAGUUGAUACUGGCGACCUUGAGUGCAACAGAGGUAGGCGGAAUUCGUGGUGUAGCGGUGAAAUGCUUAGAUAUCACGAAGAACUCCGAUUGCGAAGGCAGCUUACUGGAUUGUAACUGACGCUGAUGCUCGAAAGUGUGGGUAUCAAACAGGAUUAGAUACCCUGGUAGUCCACACAGUAAACGAGGAAUACUCGCUGUUGGCGAUAUACAGUCAGCGGCCAAGCGAAAGCAUUAAGUAUUCCACCUGGGGAGUACGCCGGCAACGGUGAAACUCAAAGGAAUUGACGGGGGCCCGCACAAGCGGAGGAACAUGUGGUUUAAUUCGAUGAUACGCGAGGAACCUUACCCGGGCUUAAAUUGCAACUGACUGAACCGGAAACGGUUCUUUCUUCGGACAGUUGUGAAGGUGCUGCAUGGUUGUCGUCAGCUCGUGCCGUGAGGUGUCGGCUUAAGUGCCAUAACGAGCGCAACCCUUAUCGAUAGUUACUAGCAGGUCAUGCUGAGGACUCUAUUGAGACUGCCGUCGUAAGAUGUGAGGAAGGUGGGGAUGACGUCAAAUCAGCACGGCCCUUACGUCCGGGGCUACACACGUGUUACAAUGGGGGGUACAGAAGGCAGCUACACGGCGACGUGGUGCUAAUCCCGAAAGCCUCUCUCAGUUCGGAUUGGAGUCUGCAACCCGACUCCAUGAAGCUGGAUUCGCUAGUAAUCGCGCAUCAGCCACGGCGCGGUGAAUACGUUCCCGGGCCUUGUACACACCGCCCGUCAAGCCAUGAAAGCCGGGGGUACCUGAAGUACGUAACCGCAGGGAGCGUCCUAGGGUAAAACUGGUGA
rnacentral:rRNA from 1 species